UACGAAGGGGGCUAGCGUUGCUCGGAAUUACUGGGCGUAAAGCGCACGUAGGCGGCUUUCUAAGUCGGAGGUGAAAUCCUGGAGCUCAACUCCAGAACUGCCUUCGAUACUGGAGAGCUUGAGUCCGGGAGAGGUGAGUGGAACUGCGAGUGUAGAGGUGAAAUUCGUAGAUAUUCGCAAGAACACCAGUGGCGAAGGCGGCUCUCUGGACCGAGACUGACGCUGAGGCGCGAAAGCGUGGGGAGCAAACAGG
rnacentral:rRNA from 1 species